CGGGAACAGGCUCUCUGCCCCGCCGUCCUGGGUGGGAUUUAGGCUAGAGCCGGCUUCCAGGUCAAGGAGACCUGAGCGAAACCGUUGCGCAGGGGAGCCCGGGCGAUGCGACCCGUUUCACCCUCCUGCACCGCCCUUUUUACCCGCAAAAUAGGAGCAGUCCCGUACCCCUCUCGCAGGGCUACCCUUCUCACGGGGACACUUGGCGCAGGCUUGGGGACGGCAGAUGUAGUCGGCGAUUAAACCCGCCGCUAUAUUUUUCUUUUUACGGAGGCGUGCUCCGCCCGGGACUUUUCGCCGAGCAAAACAAACCAAAAUAAAUCUAGAAAAAACAUCAAUCGAAAAGAAACUUCAGCCUUUCGGGGAAAUUCUCAAAAUUCAAUACAACCUCCGCCCGCCGCCGAAACUGGACUCAUUAGCAGAGGAACCUGGGAUAUGUUCGAUCUUAACUGAACGAAGAUGACGUAAGUUCAGUCUCAGCAUCAGAAAGUUGCUCAGAAGAUACUACCCUCUAAAAUGAUCUGUUUGACCUUUAAACACUGAUCCUGAAAUUUGAUCCCUGAGACUCACCAAUACCAAAGAAUGAGACACUUCAGUCGCUGGAUGCCAUUUGAAUGUGCUCUCAGUUUAGGAGCUCAAGGCGAGAUCCAGAAAGGGACUCAGGAAGAAUGCAGAUACUGAAGUCUAAAAUGGGAAUGCUGAACACUUCCACUCAGUUGCUGGCUAAUUAUGGAUAUAUCUAAAGCCCAAUUUUCAUAAUUUCAGCUCCCCAAACACACCCCCAGUAGCACCUCAGGCUCAGCAGGGGAGAGCUAGCAUGGUACCUAAUGCAGACUGAGGAAGCAAGUAUCUCUCUGCUUCUCUCCUUUGAUCUGCGCCCAACACAGUCAAUGAAUACACUGUGAAAAUGCUCUGAAACCUUCUUCCUCUCCAUGGUCAAUGGGAGAAGAUGUCCUCAUUUUAUACACAAGACAGAUCAGUCAGAUAUGAUGGUGAAGAUCCAGACUCAAUUCCCUCCUUUGUUCAAAGGAAUUCAACCACAGGCCUCUUGUCUAUGAAGAGUAUGUUUGAGAUGUAGUGCAAUACUUAAUGAAGCUGGCAAGCACAUAAAAAGCCGUGCUUGUCCUUCCUAAGCUGAAAUCCUCUUGCUGCUGAUACCCAGCCCGUUUCUGCACGAGGCAGGCGGUGUUUCUCUCUGGUGAGGGGCUGGGGGCUGCUGGGGAGCAGAAAUGAGAGGAGAGAGCUUCUUGCUGACAGCUGGACAAGACGCUGCACGCUGGCCCGCAGCACUCAAAGUACCACUUCACAUCAGUUCAGACCCAGUUGUGGUCCUGUUUCGACACGAGAAGAGACCUCGGGGGCCUCCUGCUUCCCUGGCCUCCCGGGAAAUGUUGCACUCCGGCUUUGUGAAACGGAUAUCUGGGACAAUUUUUUAUGCUGCAGCAAUUGCCGUCAUGUUCCCUUUUGCCUGUGGUUGUGGUCUGAAGUGCUGUAGUUGAACAGAUAGCUCUGUCCAGCCUUAUUCUUUGGGACCCCUUCAUCUGUACAGCAUGGCUUACUCAAUGCAGUAGUGAAAAUGAAAGAUAAACUGCAUUAUCACUAGUAGUCACAGAAACAUGAUUGUUUUCAGCGAUGUUUUGUCAAUAAACACUAGGGCAGAACAACUUAACAUCAGAUAUUGCAAAGUCCUGAUUGCACAGAACAGAGAGGUAGAAAAAACAUGAAAAAACACCUGAUCAGUGUUAUCACUGAUAUUUUACAUUCACGCACAUCUCAGUACAGACAUAUACUAACUUUUCUAGGUAAAUGCUCCUGAAGGUUUCUACAAUAAUUUUAUUUGCCUUUCAAAACAACCCAGGCUUCAGGAUUUAUUAAUGCAGCAAUUAGUAUGCUGAUCAUGCCCAGCAUGCUUAAAUCUUUAUUGGCUGUAUGCACCACCGAAAGUUUUAGUUUUAUUAAACCUGAGCCUUCUACAUACUGCUGUUUAGUGUGUGUUACAAAACUAAGAUCAGCUCUGAAUGUAAUGUAACCCACAUGUUGGAUUGCUUGCUCCAGUGACUUACAGAAAUAUUUCAGGUAGCAAGUAUUUUCUUAGUACUCUGUUAUAAAAAUAUGUCAAGCACACAAUGUUUGCAUUAUAUGUUCCUUUUCUGUUAUAGAAAAAGAAUUGUGCACCAAACCCUGUACUCCACCCUGUUCCUCACAGAACAGUCAUUUUCACCAACUGUGUAUCAAACUACCAUGAAGCAUCAUGUUUCAGUGAAGAUUUUGAGGUGAGAUAGACAAUAGGUUAAAUUAGAGUACGGUUAUCUUCAUCAUAUGUAGAUAGAUAGAUAAAUAAGUAGAUAAAGUGCAUACUAUAUCUGCAAAGCAAACUAGACAUAGGUUGUAGGUUUUAUUCACAUGUAGGAAGGGACAAGUGCAGCUGAGAUUUUUUUUUUCCCCAUCAAGUGCCAGAGGCUGUAGGAAAUCUGCCAGGCAUGAUGCUAGGCAUAUUGAUCUUUGCAGAAUCGUCUUUCUUUCAUACCGUGAAGACAAAAAUGUCAGCAUGAUGGAGCAGUCUCCUGAGACGCCCUGGUCUGAGCCCCUCAAGUCAACGCUGUCCUGCCCACUGACUUGCAAGCACCAACUGGACUUUUCCUACAAGCACAGUUCUUCCCCCACCACAGCAUCCAGCUGCAAUACUGGUGUUUACAUCAUCCAUAGGAAAGAGAAGAUCCAGGGCUGAUAUGAUCUGUAAAAAUAAUUCUAACAGGUGAUGCAGAGGCUUGGCCAGGUGGUUUAUUCCCUUACACUAUACAAAGAAGAGGCAAUUUGCCAAGUUUGUUUCAGAUUCAAUCUAUGGCAAUUUAUACAAUUAAUCUGCCUAAUGGAGCUAGUCUAAAGAGACUUCUAACAACACAUGAGUUGCCUCCUGUAAUGUACAGUUUCAUUUCGGUUCCAACAGAUAGACUUUCAGACUUUAACUGCAGGUGACGUCCCCAGCCAUCGAUCCCCUUUCCAUCCCAGGUUAUCAUCUUCUGUAAAAGUGGAAGAGGAGAUGGGUUUGCUGUUGUGCUUAUGCUGUUGGCUGCCUGGCACACUGAUCUGAUACAACGUGCGGACACUCUGCUACCUUCUGCCAUCUCUGCUACGGCAAGAGUCUCCCACCUGGGUCUUGUCAACACUAACAUCCAAGGGGCCCUGGCUUUUAUGUUAAAUUUCUGUGGCAGGAUUUGCCAAAGUCUCUCUGUCAGAGCCCCCUUGAGUGCAGGAUUUAGGACUGAGGGCAGAUGGAGAGCUCUGCAUUUGCAGAGCAAGAACAGCACAGGCAGUCCAGGAUUCAUCAAAUUACACUGCCAAAAGGAACCUGAAGCCCAGCAGAGGAACCCUACUGCCCCACAACUCUGUAGCCGAAAUUCUACAUUUAAACAUAUUGCACUUAUACUGUUAUACUGAGAUAGCUGGCAAAGAUGUUCUCCAGGAGAAAAAAAAAUUAAAAAAUAGAUAACUCUUGGAGGUAGCCAACAAAUUUCUGCUCCAUCAGCUGAAUACAUUUGAAAGUCAACACACUCAGGCUUUGUUGGAGCUAAUUCCAGCACUUAGGAUUUAACUGCGAAUCCCCCUCCCUUACCCAUAAAUACACACAUUUAAAUGUGUUCAUUUGAGUGUUUCAAGUCAUCUCAAAUUCCAUGGCAUCCACAGAAAAAAAGCCAGUCUAAAGUCAA